AAAUUUACAUCAUUAUUAUAAUAUUUAGGGCCAGACCCCUGACAUGAGGAAAAAGACUUUAUUGAAGACUACAAUGAGAAAAACUAGCAGACGGCUGCAUUCAAGGUGAGCUCUGAACAUUUGAUCUGGAACAGGAAUUCAAUAACAGCAGCAUGAGCUUCAUUUCAGUCUGUAGCUGCUGAAUUCAUGGAUGAAUCAUCUGGCACUAGAGAGGAAGACCAUCAAACAUCCACGUCAGCUGAUGGAGGUCCAAGAGUCUCACCCAACAAACAACCUACAGAGUGAAGACCUCUAACCUGAUUGGACGGCCUCCUAUUCAGCCACGUGUCAACAAAUGCCUCUAAGCUGAUUUGUUUUCUAAAAUAAAUCUAGUUUGAGUCCUAAUCUAUGCCUGUGUGUUUGCGUCUUUACACGGCUGUUAACAGUUUAGGCUGUUAGAUUGUUCCAGAUAAGACAAGUACAAGAUUCUUCAGAGCCGUUCUACCACGAGCCUGACAGGAAGAACUCCAACAGCUACUGAAUGUUCCUGUGGUCCCCUCAAGGCUACAGGAGGAGCCCUAUGAGGACGAGCCGGUCCACCUGAUGGCAGCCAGUCGCUGCGGUUCAAAGCCAACACCGACUACGUGGACUUCUACUGGACCACAUGGAGACCUUCAGACCAGACCAACAAGAUCACCGACUCCCCAACAUUUUCCAAGUGACCACAUGGGUGGAGCCAAGGCGGAGUCUGGGUGGAGUCAGGGCGGAGAGUAGGCGGGGAGGUGGGUGGCGGCCUCCCCCCUCUACUCCCCCACCACCCACCACACCUUCCCCCACCCGACGAGUUCCUCGAGUCUCCACGAGUUCUUCGAGUCUCGACAGGUUUUCCCGAGUUUCUG
ensembl:lncRNA